rnacentral:rRNA from 1 species
UAACCUGCCCAAGAGAUCGGGAUAACACCUGGAAACAGAUGCUAAUACCGGAUAACAACAGAUGAUGCCUAUCAACUGUUUAAAAGAUGGUUCUGCUAUCACUCUUGGAUGGACCUGCGGUGCAUUAGCUAGUUGGUAGGGUAACGGCCUACCAAGGCGAUGAUGCAUAGCCGAGUUGAGAGACUGAUCGGCCACUAUUGGGACUGAGACACGGCCCAAACUCCUACGGGAGGCAGCAGAU